AUGAUCCGGUGGCUAAACUUACUAUCCUUACUAGCAGUCCUCAGAGGUGUCCAAUCUGAGGUCCAGUUGGUGGAGACUGGAGGGAAUGUGAGAAGACCAGGAGAGUCCCUCCGUCUCUCCUGCCAAGGUUCUGGAUACAACUUUGGUGAUUCCAGCAUGAACUGGGUGAGACAGGCUCCUGGGAAAGGACUGGAAUGGGUAGCCUACAUAAGAUAUGAUUCCAGUACUGUUAACUACUCAGACAAAGUGAAGGGCCGCUUCACCAUCUCCAGGGACAAUGCCAAAAGCCAGCUGCAUCUGCAAAUGAACAGCCUCAAGCCAGAUGACACAUCAAUCUAUUACUGUACUAGACACACAGUGAGAGGAAGUGAAUCUUAAACCAGACAAGAACCUUCCCUCCCUCAGAGUAGAUAUCCAAGUGGAUUCAGUCACAGAAACUUGAAUUUGAGUCCUUGAACUGAUGAUCCGGUGAUCCUCAUCAUAGCAUUAGAAUAUUCCAUGGAUCAGUAUAUAUUUUAAGACUUAAAAAAAAAAAACCUGAGACCCCCUUAAAUUAGGGAAAAUAGAAGCCCAAAGAUACAUUAUCUUCUUGAAUUGAAGGUGAAGGGAACUGCUGCAUUUACAAUUACAAGGAAUCAGUA